GGGGGUAUAGCUUAGUGGUAGAGCACCUAUGUGCUCGUCAUGCACGAGGACCUGGGUUCAAUCCCCAAUGCCUCCA
rfam:Camelus ferus unplaced genomic scaffold scaffold667, whole genome shotgun sequence.